UAGAUGCGAGAGUAGAGCAUAUCAAUAAGCGGAGGAAAAGAAACUAACUAGGAUUCCCUUCAGUAACGGCGAGUGAAGCGGGAAGAGCUCAAAUUUGAAAUCUUCAAGGUUCUACCUUGACGAAUUGUAGUUUAUAGAAGUGUUUUCUGUUAGUGGAGUGGCAAAAGUUCUUUGGAAUAGGACAUCAUAGAGGGUGAGAAUCCCGUAUUUGGUCAUUCCUCCUAGCGUUGUGAUACACUUUCAACGAGUCGGAUUGUUUGGGAAUGCAGUCCAAAAUGGGUGGUAAAUUUCAUCCUAAAGCUAAAUAUUGGCGAGAGACCGAUAGCGAACAAGUACCGUGAGGGAAAGAUGAAAAGAACUUUGAAAAGAGAGUUAAACAGUACGUGAAAUUGUCAAAAGGGAAGCGUUUGACACCAGUGUUGUUUUUCCGAAAAUCAAUUACGAAUGUUUUGUUUUUAAGAAGUUAUGACUUCAUCGGCUUGCUUCUUUCUUUACGAAACUUUCUUAAUGCACUUUUCGGUUAACAAGUCAACAUCAAUUUCUUUUGUUGUAAAAGGGUAUGAGGAAGGUGGCUUUCUUUUCGGAGAAAGUGUUUAUAGCCUUGUGCCUCUGCAAUCGGAGAGAUUGAGGUCUGCAGCGUAGAUCCUUCGGGGUUAGAUUACAUUUGUGCUAAGUUAUAGCUUUUCAUAGACAACUUGUUGACUAUGUUUAGUCUUGUAGCUUACUCGCUUACGCUAUUUUACCUACGCUUAGGAUGUUGACGAGACUGUCGAUCUC
rnacentral:rRNA from 1 species